rnacentral:tRNA from 1 species
GGGGUUGUGGCUCAGUGGUAGGGCGCUUGCCUAGCAUGUGUGAGGCCCUGGGUUCGAUUCUCAGCACCA